CCUACGGGAUGCAGCAGUGGGGAAUAUUGCACAAUGGGGGAAACCCUGAUGCAGCGACGCCGCGUGAGUGAAGAAGUAUUUCGGUACGUAAAGCUCUAUCAGCAGGGAAGAAAAUGACGGUACCUGACUAAGAAGCCCCGGCUAACUACGUGCCAGCAGCCGCGGUAAUACGUAGGGGGCAAGCGUUAUCCGGAUUUACUGGGUGUAAAGGGAGCGUAGACGGCAGCGCAAGUCUGGAGUGAAAUCCCAUGGCUUAACCAUGGAACUGCUUUGGAAACUGUGCAGCUAGAGUGCAGGAGCGGUAAGCGGAAUUCCUAGUGUAGCGGUGAAAUGCGUAGAUAUUAGGAGGAACCCCAGUGGCGAAGGCGGCUUACUGGACUGUAACUGACGUUGAGGCUCGAAAGCGUGGGGAGCAAACAGGAUUAGAUACCCUUGUAGUC
rnacentral:rRNA from 1 species